GCCCCCUUAGCUCAGGGGAUAGAGCACCGGCCUCCGGAGCCGGGUGCGCAGGUUCGAAUCCUGCAGGGGGCACCG
rnacentral:tRNA from 1 species